AACGAACGCUGGCGGCAUGCCUAACACAUGCAAGUCGAACGAAGGCUUCGGCCUUAGUGGCGCACGGGUGCGUAACGCGUGGGAAUCUGCCCUUGGGUUCGGAAUAACUCAGAGAAAUUUGAGCUAAUACCGGAUGAUGACGUAAGUCCAAAGAUUUAUCGCCCAAGGAUGAGCCCGCGUAAGAUUAGCUAGUUGGUGGGGUAAAGGCCUACCAAGGCGACGAUCUUUAGCUGGUCUGAGAGGAUGAUCAGCCACACUGGGACUGAGACACGGCCCAGACUCCUACGGGAGGCAGCAGUGGGGAAUAUUGGACAAUGGGCGCAAGCCUGAUCCAGCCAUGCCGCGUGAGUGAUGAAGGCCUUAGGGUUGUAAAGCUCUUUCACCGGAGAAGAUAAUGACGGUAUCCGGAGAAGAAGCCCCGGCUAACUUCGUG
rnacentral:rRNA from 1 species